GAUGAACGCUGGCGGCGUGCCUAAUACAUGCAAGUCGAGCGAACAGACGAGAAGCUUGCUUCUCUGAUGUUAGCGGCGGACGGGUGAGUAACACGUGGAUAACCUACCUAUAAGACUGGGAUAACUUCGGGAAACCGGAGCUAAUACCGGAUAAUAUUUUGAACCGCAUGGUUCAAAAGUGAAAGACGGUCUUGCUGUCACUUAUAGAUGGAUCCGCGCUGCAUUAGCUAGUUGGUAAGGUAACGGCUUACCAAGGCAACGAUGCAUAGCCGACCUGAGAGGGUGAUCGGACACACUGGAACUGAGACACGGUCCAGACUCCUACGGGAGGCAGCAGUAGGGAAUCUUCCGCAAUGGGCGAAAGCCUGACGGAGCAACGCCGCGUGAGUGAUGAAGGUCUUCGGAUCGUAAAACUCUGUUAUUAGGGAAGAACAUAUGUGUAAGUAACUGUGCACAUCUUGACGGUACCUAAUCAGAAAGCCACGGCUAACUACGUG
rnacentral:rRNA from 1 species